rnacentral:lncRNA from 10 species
CUCUAGGCUCUUUUUUUUCCCUCCCUCUCUUGCUUUCUUUCGUUGCAAAACUUGGAAGUUGAAAAAUUCACCGGUUCCACCCUCUGGACCCCGCUCGAGCUCUCUCCAAAUCAGACUUAAGGAUUGUUUUAUUAUUUAAUUACACAAUCAUCGCUUUACUCCUCCUCCUGCAAACGCGCAUUCCUUUUGCACCAGCCUCUCCACACCCCCCGCCCCCCCACCUUCCUCCUCCUCCUCCUUCUCCUUCUCUCCCCCCACCUCUCCCUCAUUUGUUAAAGGUAUCCUACCGGUGCUACAGAACCAUGACUUUUUUUUUUUUUCCAAAAUAGCUCUUCUUUCCGCUGCCCUCCCCACACCAGCACACACAUACACACCCCCGAAAACCCGCCCUGGAAGAGGUAUUUCGGUGCUCGCUGCGGACUCUUUUAAGCCGCGGGAACAUCCGAGUGGGAGAAGCACCGAAACCGUCUGAGCCCGAGAAAGGAACGAGUGGAAAAUUCCCUCACACCCAGGCCGCCCCCAGGCCGGGGCUGGGGCGCGGACACUCGCACCCGGGGCGGGCUCAGUCCGCGGAGCCUGCGGCUGCCGGGAAAAGGGGGAGGCCGAGCAGGCGGGGACCUGAGCGAACUUGGGCUCAAGUAGUUGGGGCGCGCCGGCGUGGACCAGGGGGGUGCGGCGCCCAGCCCCCGACGGCCCCGCCCGGAGCCCGGGUUCGCGGAUAGGGAGGGGGUGCGGGUUCGUCCCGGGUCUGCCCACCAGGGGCCCGCACCCGAGGCAGUCGCGGCGCGCGGCGCUUCGCCGCGGUUUGCCGCCCUCCCCGGGGGUGCCCCGUGCACGUGGCCUCGCUCUGAGCGGGAGGACCGGGCCGAGCCGCCGCCGCCGCCUCUUGCUCCCUCCACCUCCUCCCCGCGCCCGGCUUCGCUCUCCUCCUCCUCCUCCUGCAGCCCCGCUGGCUGGCUCCCAAUCCCCACCCCCCGGGGCCCGGGGCGCCGGCGGAAAGCGUCUCCCUACCCGCCCGGGUGCAGGCGGGGCGGGGCCGCGGCGCGCCCGGGGCUGCGGGGCGGGCCGGCGGGCGCGCGCGCGCCGCUGCAGCCCUCCAGAGGCUGCGGGCCCUGAGCCGCUCGGCGCCCGCGCCGGCUCCCCACCGCGGCGCUGCCCCGCCCCCACCCCGUCGCCCGUGCAGGCUCCGAGUGAAUGAACUUGAUUCCAGGGAUUUUGAAGAAGGCGGUUCGCCUUGCACCCUUUCUGCACCCCCCGCCCACAUACACACACCGCCCCCCAAAUCCAGUUUUCUGCUUGGGGUGGAUGGGGACGAGGGGGAAGCAAAGGCCUCCCAGACAAUGGAGGGAGGAAAAGUGAGCGCCUGGGGCUCCGAGUCUACCUAGCUGGGGGAUCCGGGGGGCGCUGGGGCUACCGGGUCCUCGCGGGCCCAUCCCCAGGGCGGGGCCGCCCCGCUUCCACGGGUACUGCUGGGGCGUUUCGAGGCUCGCCCCCGAUUCCCCGGUCCUCUUUCCACCGCUUCCCAGCUCGUGAUCUGUCCCCUCAACUUUAGCCCCUCUCACUCCCUCUGGUUUCUGUCCACCGUCCCCUCUUCCCUCCCCCAGCGGACCUGGAGGAACCAGUGACUUUUUCCUUCACCAAGUGGGAGUUAUCCACAUCAAGCAUUUCACAACGACACAUCAAGAAAAGUAGGCAGGUUCAAGUCAACCAUGAAAUGGUCACUUUUUAACCCCGUCCUGUCCUCAUUAGGGAAAUGCUCAAACACAGUCCGUUUUCAAAGAGCGCUCUUAAUGAGGCGAGCUUGCCAAGUUUACCAGCUGCAGCCCCCGUAAACCCAGAGCCCAAAGAAGAAAGGCGCUGGGGGGUGGGGAGUUCGGGAGGCCGGGGACGGGGGCUGCUGGGACUAGGAAGACAGGUAAAGUCGGGGAGAUCGCGCGGACCCCUGCGAGUUAACCCUUUCGGCCACACGCCCUGGGAGCGGCCUCCCUGCGGUCCCCGCCCCUGCCCCGGCAAAUCCUGGAGUCAGCGUUCUGACAACGUUAAUUUCCUUUGUGCGGGUCAUUUCUUCUUUUUGAAAAGCUGGGAUAAAGUUGGCAGUCUUUAUGGAUGAAAGAAAUGAGGUGACAGGGUUAAUCCAAGUAAAUACUCAUUUCUCUCAGAAAUUUUAGGCAACCUCAUCUUAGAUUAAACACACACAGACACACACACACAGAGAAACCACCAGCACGAAAGCAUCACUUUGUAUUGCACAUUACACUGCAUCCCCUUUCUCACCCUCACCAGAUUCUGAGGGGAGGGGGUGGGGAAGCUCUACUGAUAAUACCAGCUUUAACUACUGCAGUUUCCCUUUGAACAAAUAUUCAAUUUAACUGGAGUUAAUUUACCAUAAAAGACAUUCCCCUUGGCAGGAAUGCACUAAUAUCCUUGAACACACCUCUUUGAAUGCCUGGACUCUCAUAGAAGCCAUUAUUUCGGGGUCUCUUUAAAAAUCGAGCGCCCAUCUCUCCUUCUCUCCCUCCCUCCCUUCUUCCCUCCCUCCUCACCACACCACCCCCAGUGAAAUCCUGGCACCCAGAGAGCACUCCUUUCAGCCUGAGAGCCCAGAACCAGCCGUUGUCCCCUGGCAAAAAGAGGCCCAGGGCUGAGCCCUGGGCAAGUGUCUCCCGACAUCGCUACCCCUCCUCCCUUUAUUAGUUUCCCUUUCCCAACAGAAACCAUUUCCUUCUGCCACCAAAACUAGGUUGCAUCCAAAAGUUUUUCACAAGCUUAAAAAAGAAAAACGAAAAAUUGACAAGUAUUACACAGAAGAGCCCACAAAAGCUUCAGCAACACCAAGGGCGAAGAAGCAGCGUCAGAUCCAGGUCUGCAGGACACACCAAAGAACUCCUCCAAGUCACACAAGGGAGAAAAUUAACUUCAUUGGCUUCUAUCAGGAAAGCUAUUUUUUUUUUCCUCUUCUUUCCUGCAAGUUUCCCAAACCCCAUGACUCUGAUUUCCAGGUCAGAGACUAAGGUUUUAUUUUUCUUACUCUGUAUACUUUAUAUGUGGAGAGUCCCUGAAGGAACACUGUGAUGGGCUGAUUACUGUGAGCCAGUUGUGGGCCAGACCUGGCCUCAGGUGCUGCAAAGGGAAUUCAGUCACCCCUGUGCAGUGAUCUGUGAGCCCCAAGUCAGAUCCAACUUUUUCCUGAUAGACAGCACCCUCCUCCUCCCUACCAAGAAAUAGCAGGGUUGGAGGUAGUGACCCAAUAUUCAAGAGGUUUGAAAUUCUACAUGAGAUAUUUCUGAGUUAACUCCUAAAUAGCAGUUUCCUUAAUCAUGUGGAAAAUAAGAACACUUACUAAAGAGACCAUUGGUUUAAGAGAAAUGGAAACUUAUGUCCACGUAAAAACCUGUAAAUGAAUGUUCACAGCAGCCUUUUCAUAAUAGCCAAAAAGGGAAAGCAAUCCACACGUCCAUCAACCAAUGAAUGGAUAAACUUAACGUGGGAUAUACGUGUAAUGGAAUGCUAUUUGGUGAAGAAAGAAAUGAAAUAUUAAUACAUGCGUUAACAAGGAUGGACCUUAAAAUAUCAUGCUAAGUAAGAGAAGCCUGUCACAAAAGAAUAUGUAUUGUACCAUUCUACUUAUAUGAAAUUCCUAGAAUAGGCAAUUCUAUAGGGACAGAAACUAGACUAGUGAUUGGCUAGAGCUUGGGGAGAGUUUGGGGAGCCUGGAGGAUGACAGCAAAGUGGUGCAGAGUUUCUUUUUAGGUUGAUUAAAUGUUGUAAAAUUAAUUGUAGUGAUGGUUGUGCAACUUUGUGAUUUUGUUAAAAACCAUUGCAUUUUGCCCUUUAAAUGGAUGAAUUGCACAAUGUGUGAAUUAGACAUAAGUUUAUUUACAUAAUUAAUAUCUAUUUAUUGAUAUAUAACUCAUAUAUCAAUAAAUAUAUACUAUAUAAAAUAAUUUUAUAUUUAUAUAAAAUGUGAAUUAUAUAUAAAUACAUAAAUAAAACUGCUAAAAACUAAAAAAUAUAUACUUUAAAAAAAGGCUGUUCGUUUCUUUCACAUUUUCUGAGCACAAUCACUUUGGGAUAAAUGUGUCCAGGCUUAAAAAGCCAGAUUUUAUGGGCUAACUAAAAUGGAAAUGUGAAAAACUGUGUUUUUUUCCAUAGGAGGAGAGAGUCUGAUUUGCAGGUACGUGCAUACCCACAGCAGUCAUACUUGUAAUUCUUGGAAACUUUGCUGAAAGUUUUUUCCUAGCCUGAAAUCAUUAAAAUAUGUUGAAACAAUGACACU